CCUACGGGAGGCAGCAGUGAGGAAUAUUGGUCAAUGGGCGGAAGCCUGAACCAGCCAAGUAGCGUGCAGGAUGAAUGCCCUACGGGUCGUAAACCGCUUUUGCACGGGGAUAACACCCGCCACUUGUGGCGGUCUGCAGGUACCGUGCGAAUAAGGGCCGGCUAAUUCCGUGCCAGCAGCCGCGGUAAUACGGAGGGCCCGAGCGUUAUCCGGAUUUAUUGGGUUUAAAGGGAGCGUAGGCGGGCGUUAAAGUCAGCUGUAAAAUCGCGCGGCUCAACCGGGACCUGCAGUUGAAACUGGACGCCUUGAGUACACAACAGGCAGGCGGAAUUCGUGGUGUAGCGGUGAAAUGCAUAGAUAUCACGAGGAACCCCGAUUGCGAAGGCAGCCUGCCGGGGUGCGACUGACGCUGAGGCUCGAAGGUGCGGGUAUCAAACAGGAUUAGAUACCCGUGUAGUC
rnacentral:rRNA from 1 species